rnacentral:tRNA from 1 species
AGUUCCGUAGUGUAGUGGUUAUCACGUUCGCUUCACACGCGAAAGGUCUCCCGGUUCGAUCCCGACGGAACCA